rnacentral:rRNA from 1 species
GAAUCAUUCACAAUGGGCGAAAGCCUGAUGGUGCGACGCCGCGUGAGGGAUGAAGGCCUUCGGGUUGUAAACCUCUGUCACCGGGGAAGAAACGCUUCAAGUUAACAGCUUGAAGCCUGACUUAACCCGGAGAGGAAGCAGUGGCUAACUCUGGGCCAGCAGCCGCGGUAAUACAGAGACUGCAAGCUUUAUUCGGAUUCACUGGGCGUAAAGGGUGCGCAGGCGGCCGUGUGUGUGAGGCGUGAAAGCCCGAUGCUUAACAUCGGAAUUGCACCUCAAACUACAUGGCUAGAGCAUUGGAGAGGGUAGCAGAAUUCAUGGUGUAGCAGUGAAAUGCGUAGAUAUCAUGAGGAAUACCAGAGGCGAAGGCGGCUACCUGGACAAUUGCUGACGCUCAGGCACGAAAGCGUGGGGAGCAAAAGGG